ensembl:misc_RNA 7SK 7SK RNA
GGAUGUGAGGGCAACCUGGCUGCAACAUCUGUCACCCCAUUGAUUGCCAGGGAUGAUUUGGCUGAUCUGGCUGGCUCGGCAGGUAGCCCCUUCCUCCCUUACUGCUCCAUGUGUGUCCCUCCCGAAGGUGUGCUCUCAGUCGAAGAGGACGACCAUCCCUGAUAGAGGAGGACGGGUCUUCAGUCAAGGGUGUACAAGUAGCUAUGCUCUCUUGCGAGAACCUCCAAACAAGCUCUCAAGAUAAACAGCUGUGGAGACAAAGGUUUGAUUAUGCAGCUGAAGCCUCCAGGUAGCAGGUUUCAGAGCU